rnacentral:rRNA from 1 species
UACGUAGGGGGCAAGCGUUGUCCGGAAUCAUUGGGCGUAAAGCGCGUGUAGGCGGUUCAGUAAGUCUGCUGUGAAAGUCCAAGGCUCAACCCUCGAAUGCCGGUGGAUACUGUCGGGCUUGAGUACGGGAGAGGCGAGUGGAAUUCCUGGUGUAGCGGUGAAAUGCGCAGAUAUCAGGAGGAACACCGAUUGCGAAGGCAGCUCGCUGGAACGUUACUGACGCUGAGACGCGAAAGCGUGGGGAGCAAACAGG